AGUAACUUGGAUUCCCUAGGAAGACACAUUCGCGUUUGCCUCCCCCUUGCCUGUGUCCUCCGCCUGAGCUGUGGUUUUCCCCCAUUAGGGCUCAGCCGGGAGAGCUUUUUUCCCGCCCCUGUUUUGGAAGCGGCUCGUGGAUCUCGACCGAGCCCUCAAGGUUUGAUCCCAAUACAAAGCUGGGCAAGGAGGUCGCUGCUUCAAGUCUGUGCUCAGAGUGCAGGGCGUGCUUCCCUCCCACCAGUGAGAAGCAAAUGGCUGGAUUGUGGGCUCCUCACCCCGAGUCCCUUGGCAGGAGGAUCCCAUCUGCUGCUCCUCUUCCCCCACCCAGGUUUCCAAAUCCCAGAGGGAAACUUCUCAGCCCCCUAAUCGCCGCCAUCUGCUUUCUUCUUUCCAUCGCCAACCGGACCUCAGGACCCCGGGUGUGCGUCCAGGGUGGAGGGGUCCCCAGCAGAGAGGUAGGAGGGCAUGGGGUGGAGCGCCAGAGGAGGACUCAACUCAAGCGUCUGUCCUGAGGCCUGAGGGACCCCCAGCUGUCCGGGUCCCGCCACUCAGCACCCCUCACCCACCAGCAAGCAGCACCCUGGUCGGGCUCCGCUCAGAGCCACAGCCAGAGUGCGCCCCCUAGCGGGGCCUUCGGGUGGGCCGAGCCCUUCAGGUUCAGCCUCUAGGAACUGAAGUUGGCAGAUCCAAGUGAUCCUGCAGGCAUGAAUGGAAGAAAGAAAACAAAAGCCUUGCGAACAUUUCCAAGUGUUCAAUAAAAGACCCAUCUGUACCUUUU